rnacentral:rRNA from 1 species
GAUGAACGCUAGCGGAGCUUAACACAUGCAAGUCGAGGGGCAGCAUAGGGUAGCAAUACUCUGAUGGCGACCGGCAAACGGGUGAGUAACGCGUAUGCAACCUACCCUGUACAGGGGGAUAACCCGGAGAAAUUCGGACUAAUAUCCCGUAAUAAUAUCCGGAGGCAUCUUUGGAUAUUAAAGUUCCGACGGUACGGGAUGGGCAUGCGUAACAUUAGCUGGUUGGUAAGGUAACGGCUUACCAAGGCUAUGAUGUUUAGGGGUCCUGAGAGGGUGGUCCCCCACACUGGUACUGAGACACGGACCAGACUCCUACGGGAGGCAGCAGUGAGGAAUAUUGGUCAAUGGGCGCAAGCCUGAACCAGCCAUCCCGCGUGCAGGAAGACGGCCCUAUGGGUUGUAAACUGCUUUUCCAGGGAGAGAAACUUACGCACGUGUUGCGUGACUGACGGUACCCUGGGAAUAAGCAUCGGCUAACUCCGUG